UGGGGAUAUUGCACAAUGGAGGGAACUCUGAUGCAGCGAUGCCGCGUGAGGGAAGACGGUCUUCGGAUUGUAAACCUCUGUCUUCAGGGACGAACACAAUGACGGUACCUGAGGAGGAAGCUCCGGCUAACUACGUGCCAGCAGCCGCGGUAAUACGUAGGGAGCAAGCGUUGUCCGGAAUUACUGGGUGUAAAGGGAGUGUAGGCGGGUCUCCAAGUCCGUUGUCAAAUCUAUCGGCUCAACCGAUAGCCGCGGCGGAAACUGGAGGUCUUGAGUGAAGUAGAGGCAGGCGGAAUUCCUAGUGUAGCGGUGAAAUGCGUAGAUAUUAGGAGGAACACCAGUGGCGAAGGCGGCCUGCUGGGCUUUAACUGACGCUGAGGCUCGAGAGUGUGGGGAGCAAACAGGAUUAGAUACCCUGGUAGU
rnacentral:rRNA from 1 species